AUUGAACGCUGGCGGCAGGCCUAACACAUGCAAGUCGAGCGGAUGAAGUAGCUUGCUACUGAUUCAGCGGCGGACGGGUGAGUAAUGCCUAGGAAUCUGCCUGGUAGUGGGGGACAACGUUUCGAAAGGAACGCUAAUACCGCAUACGUCCUACGGGAGAAAGUGGGGGACCCUCGGGCCUCACGCUAUCAGAUGAGCCUAGGUCGGAUUAGCUAGUUGGUGGGGUAAUGGCUCACCAAGGCGACGAUCCGUAACUGGUCUGAGAGGAUGAUCAGUCACACUGGAACUGAGACACGGUCCAGACUCCUACGGGAGGCAGCAGUGGGGAAUAUUGGACAAUGGGCGAAAGCCUGAUCCAGCCAUGCCGCGUGUGUGAAGAAGGUCUUCGGAUUGUAAAGCACUUUAAGUUGGGAGGAAGGGUCGUAACCUAAUACGUUGCGAUUUUGACGUUACCAACAGAAUAAGCACCGGCUAACUUCGUGCCAGCAGCCGCGG
rnacentral:rRNA from 1 species